rnacentral:lncRNA from 1 species
AUAGCUGAGGUCUCUCCCAAACAGGUUGAAAGUAUCGAAACAAAACUACAACAAGAACUAUUCCACUGGCAAUGCCUGGAAGAUGAAAAUAAUGCCCUGCAGCAGAAGUCAGCAGAGAUGGCAGCAGCCCAGGAAAAGUGUGAAAUGUCGGCGUGAAGAGCAUAUACUCAGCCUCAAAACCCAUAUGGACCAGAACAUGAUAGAGCAUAGUGAGGUAGGAAAGCCACUGAAGAGCAACACAGGUGACAAGCAAUGGAAGAAAUAAACAAAGUGAAUCAAUCCU